GAUGAAGAACGUAGCGAAAUGCGCUAAGUAGUGUGAAUUGCAGAAUUCAGUGAAUCAUCGAAUCUUUGAACGCACAUUGCGCCCCUUGGUAUUCCAUGGGGCAUGCCUGUUCGAGCGUCAUUUGUACCUUCAAGCUCUGCUUGGUGUUGGGUGUUUGUCUCGCCUCUGCGUGUAGACUCGCCUCAAAACAAUUGGCAGCCGGCGUAUUGAUUUCGGAGCGCAGUACAUCUCGCGCUUUGCACUCAUAACGACGACGUCCAAAAGUACAUUUUUACACUCUUGACCUCGGAUCAGGUAGGGAUACCCGCUGAACUUAAGCAUAUCAAUAAGCGGAGGA
rnacentral:misc_RNA from 1 species